rnacentral:tRNA from 1 species
GGACUGUGGCUCAGUGGCAGAGCGCUUGCCUAGCAUGCAGGAGGCACUGGGUUCAAUCCCCGGCUCCA